CGAGCGGAUAGGAACCAUUUCGCGUGUGUAUGCGAAGUGGGCCGAUAAACCGCUAAAAUCAAUGAUUAAGGAUGUAUGUGCGUUCUAUCUUGUGAUGAAAUGCAGUUCUAUCCUUAGUUGGACAU
rnacentral:snoRNA from 1 species